rnacentral:rRNA from 1 species
CUAACACGCUACAAUGGGCCGUACAAUGGGCAGCCAAAGAGCAAUCUGGAGCAAAUCCCAGCAAAACGGUUCGUAGUUCGGAUUGGAGGCUGCAACUCGCCUCCAUGAAGUCGGAGUUGCUAGUAAACGCAGGUCAGCCAUACUGCGUUGAAUACCGUUCCCGGGUCUUGUACACACCGCCCGUCAAGUCAUGGAAGUUGGUAACACCUGAAGCCGGUGACCUAACCGCAAGGAAGGAGCUGUCGAGGGUGGGAUCGAUGACUGGGACUAAGUCGUAACAAGGUAGCCGUACCGGAAGGUGUGGCUGGAUCACCUCCUUU